rnacentral:miRNA from 1 species
CGUGCUACUCUGGUACUUCAGGC